rnacentral:rRNA from 1 species
AUCAUUUUGACUAUGCCUAAUCGCAUCUUUCCCUUCGGGGACAGAAGUGACAGGUGGUGCAUGGUUGUCCUCAGCUCGUGUCGUGAGAUGUUGGGUUAACUCCCGCAACGAGCGCAACCCUUGCCUUUAGUUGCCAGCAUUAAGUUGGGCACUCUAGAGGGACUGCCAGGGAUAACCUGGAGGAAGGUGGGGAUGACGUCAAAUCAUCAUGCCCCUUAUGCUUAGGGCUACACACGUGCUACAAUGGGUGGUACAGAGGGCAGCCAAGUCGUGAGGCGGAGCUAAUCCCUUAAAGCCAUUCUCAGUUCGGAUUGUAGGCUGAAACUCGCCUACAUGAAGCUGGAGUUACUAGUAAUCGCAGAUCAGAAUGCUGCGGUGAAUGCGUUCCCGGGUCUUGUACACACCGAA